UACGGAAGGCAGCAGUGGGGAAUAUUGCACAAUGGGCGCAAGCCUGAUGCAGCCAUGCCGCGUGUAUGAAGAAGGCCUUCGGGUUGUAAAGUACUUUCAGCGGGGAGGAAGGCGAUGUGGUUAAUAACCGCGUCGAUUGACGUUACCCGCAGAAGAAGCACCGGCUAACUCCGUGCCAGCAGCCGCGGUAAUACGGAGGGUGCAAGCGUUAAUCGGAAUUACUGGGCGUAAAGCGCACGCAGGCGGUCUGUUAAGUCAGAUGUGAAAUCCCCGGGCUUAACCUGGGAACUGCAUUUGAAACUGGCAGGCUUGAGUCUCGUAGAGGGGGUAGAAUUCCAGGUGUAGCGGUGAAAUGCGUAGAGAUCUGGAGGAAUACCGGUGGCGAAGGCGGGCCCCUGGACGAAGACUGACGCUCAGGUGCGAAAGCGUGGGGAGCAAAACAGGAUUAGAUACC
rnacentral:rRNA from 1 species